CCGCUCCUGCGCCUCCCGUUAACGGCAGCGAGGGCGCGGGCGGGAUCCCCUCCCACUCCGGCAGCCGGAGCGCCGCGCACACGCACUCGGCAGGAACAAAGAGCCACCCGGCGCCCCCGCCAUCCAGCCGUGGAAAAGCCAACAGGACCCACCUCCACGGGGAGCCCCGGGUCUUUAAACAAAAAUGCCUUCCCCCCAGCGCCCCGCACCGCACCCCGCCCCGCCCGCGGGCUGGAGCCGGCCCCAAGCGCUGCGCCUCCCGUGAGCCGUGUAAUUAGAGCCUGGUGGUGUCAGGAUGGUAAUUACGCAGAUCGAGUGUGAGGGGAAUGGGAAUCACAAGUAGCGGCUUUGUUGGGCUUGAAAGGAGCUAAUUCAGCCAAAACCCGUGUGUUUGAAACGUGCUGAUUCUGGGAGUUUUGGUUCAUAGCGAGGAAGGCAACGUAUUUUUGAAGCUGCAUUGCUGGUGAAGCAAGAACACGUAACCAAGCAUUGCAGAAAACUGCAUUAACUAUGUAAUUGUUGAUGUAUAGGAGAACACCUGAGGGGGAAGAUGUCUUUGUAUUGAAAUGUCUUCCUUUAACACAGUCCAGAUACAUAGGUGGACUUGUAACAUGCAAAUCUUUGCAAAAGAGGAUGCAAGCCGAGAUUCAGUGUUACCCAAGACUGCUCAGCCAUCACACAACCCUCACUGAGUUCAUUUCCUCUAGCCAUAUGAAGAGGAGACAUAACCUAAAUAACCAUCUUGAAGUUUCCAAAAGCGCUGAUACAAAACUGGGAACAAAUCUCAAGGAAGCCAGGGGAGGUUUAGAUUAGAUAUCAUGAAAUAUGUUUUCACCAAAAGGGUUGUCAAGCACUGGAAGAGGCUGCCCAGGGAAGUGGUUGAGUCACCAUCCUGGAAGUAUUGAAAAGAUGUGUAGAUGUGGCACUUAGGGACAUGGUUUAGUGGGGACUUGACAAUGCUAGGUUAACAGAUUUGAUGAUUUUAGAGGUCUUUUCUAAAUGAUUCUGUGAUUCUAAGUACGUAAGUUGCUUGCCUACCCACUAAUAAUAGCUAUUACUCAGUCACUACUCAGUUCUUGAGCUUUAUGCAGAGCAGUAGUCUUAUCAGCCACUGUUGCCUUCCCCAUGCUUUUUUGCUGGCUCAGAUUUCUUGUGCAAAUAGAAACAGACAUUAUUUUUCUGUUCAGGGCAUAAGUCAACUUUGAAGUCAUCCAACCUGUCACACUUCUCUCUCUUUGGUUUAUAAUCUGGAAACUUUCUUCUGCAUAAGCACAGGGCAACAGCACUGUUGUUUGUUAGUCUUUCAAGCACUCUUGCAGUGCAAGUAAUACCUCCCAGUCUUAUAAGAAGGACUGGAAAGGAAGAUAGAGCACAGCACAAAGCAUUGACUUCCAGAUGAUGUAACUUUCAUAAGUACAGCUCCCAGUGUACUACUUUACCACCAGAUAGCACUUAAUCUAAAACUUUUGUUGGUAUCUCCUCUGUCCCUUUGGAAGAAGAAAUGGAAAAACGUUGAGAGUAAAAAUCAUCUGGCUCUAAUUCUGCCGUGUGUCAUUAGAGUGAGUAAUAAAAUCCAGUUUUCACUGCUGCAGUAGCUGUAAUAUUUAUUUCCACAGGUAAAAGAGUUGAGUUUCUAUAUGUUUAGCCCUAGACAAAAUGGGCUAAGAUUGUUAUCACUAGUAAUGGUACUAGCCUUAAUUCUUGGAAGUGCAUUGUUCAUCCAGUAAGAUUGCAAAGUGAUUUAAAAGAUGAAUUAGGAGCAUAUGUGAUAUGGAGUUUAUUGACAUCAGUAACGUACAACGAAAAAAAAACCAAGAAAAAGUUUAUAAUAAGAGUAGUGCUGGAUGAUGCAAUGAGGUGAGAAGGUUCAGUUAGAUAUUAUAAAAUAAAUUUGCACUGAAAGAGUGGUUAAUCACUGCAGUAAGUUGCCCAGGGAGGUGGAGUCACCAUCUCUGGUUGUGUUCAAGAGACGUGUUGAAGAUGUAUCACUUGGGCUUAUGGUUUAGGGGUGAUUAUGGUGGUACUGGGCUAAUGGUUAGACUAGAUGAUCUUGAAGGUCUUUUCCAAGUUUGAUGAUUCUGUGGAAUACUCAAAAGAGAUUCAGAAUGGAGGAAUCACUUUUUUUCUUUGAACUAAGCAGGUCAUUUAGUGAACCAGCAAAAAAAAUGGGAAAUGGAUAUCUGAUGUUUUCUGUUGUCAGUACAGGAAUAUGACAGUAUGGUCUGGAUAUUGCAUAAUUUAAAAAAUCUUGAUGCAGACAUCAAUUUGGAGAUGCACCAGGAGACACAUUUGAAGACACACUAGAGCAUGUAACAUCAUGACAUAGGAUCUGAAGAGUCACCAUGGAAAUGCUUUACCUCAGAAUUUUUAUUUCAAGAGGAAGAGGACGAAAGGACAAUGUUACAGA